rnacentral:rRNA from 1 species
UGGGGAAUAUUGCACAAUGGGCGCAAGCCUGAUGCAGCCAUGCCGCGUGUAUGAAGAAGGCCUUCGGGUUGUAAAGUACUUUCAGCGGGGAGGAAGGUGUUGAGGCUAAUAACCCCAGCAAUUGACGUUACCCGCAGAAGAAGCACCGGCUAACUCCGUGCCAGCAGCCGCGGUAAUACGGAGGGUGCAAGCGUUAAUCGGAAUUACUGGGCGUAAAGCGCACGCAGGCGGUCUGUCAAGUCGGAUGUGAAAUCCCCGGGCUCAACCUGGGAACUGCAUUCGAAACUGGCAGGCUAGAGUCUUGUAGAGGGGGGUAGAAUUCCAGGUGUAGCGGUGAAAUGCGUAGAGAUCUGGAGGAAUACCGGUGGCGAAGGCGGCCCCCUGGACAAAGACUGACGCUCAGGUGCGAAAGCGUGGGGAGCAAACA